rnacentral:tRNA from 1 species
GGAAAUGUGGCUUAGUGGUAGAGUGCUUGCCUAGCAUGCAUGAAACUCUGGGUUCAAUUCCUCAAUAUUA